GAUGAACGCUAGCGGCAGGCUUAAUACAUGCAAGUCGAGGGGCAUCAAGGUACACGAAAGUGUAUUGUUGGCGACCGGCGGACGGGUGAGUAAUAGGUAGGUAACCUACCUCAUACUGAGGCAUAGCUGGGAGAAAUUCCAGGUAAUUCCUCAUGAGGUUAUAUGACACAUGUGAUAUAAUCAAAGGUAUCGCAAGGUACUGGUAUGAGAUGGGCUUACUGACCAUUAGCUAGUUGGUGAGAUAAGAGCUCACCAAGGCGAAGAUGGUUAGGGGUUUUGAGAGAGAGAUCCCCCACAUUGGAACUGAGAUACGGUCCAGACUCCUACGGGAGGCAGCAGUAGGGAAUAUUGGGCAAUGGGCGGAAGCCUGACCCAGCCAUGCCGCGUGAAGGAAGACGGCCUUAUGGGUUGUAAACUUCUUUACUAUGCGACUAACUAGAUUUACGAGAUAAUUCUAUAGAAUGUAGCAUAGCAAAAGCACCGGA
rnacentral:rRNA from 1 species